UAGCUUUGAGAGCACAUGUAAUAAAGUUGGAACUAUACGGAGAUUAUCAUGGCCCCUGCACAAGGCUGACACACAAAUCCAAAUAAAUGUGUGUGGGGGGCUUACCUAUUU